ensembl:snRNA U1 U1 spliceosomal RNA
AUUCUCAGUGGCAGGGGAGAUACAGUACCAUGAACACUAAGGUGGUUCUCCCAGGGCGAGGCUCAUCCAUUGCACUCUGGGUGUGCUGACCCCUGCGAUUUCCCCAAAUGCAGGAAACUCGACUGCAUAAUUUGUGGUAGUGGAGGAUUGCAUUCGCGCUCUCCCCUG